GACGAACGCUGGCGGCGUGCCUAAUACAUGCAAGUCGAGCGAAUCAACAGGAGCUUGCUCCUGUUGGUUAGCGGCGGACGGGUGAGUAACACGUGGGCAACCUGCCUGUAAGACUGGGAUAACACCGGGAAACCGGUGCUAAUACCGGAUAAUCCUUUUCCUCUUAUGAGGAAAAGCUGAAAGUCGGUUUCGGCUGACACUUACAGAUGGGCCCGCGGCGCAUUAGCUAGUUGGUGAGGUAACGGCUCACCAAGGCGACGAUGCGUAGCCGACGUGGGAGGGUGAUCGGGCACACUGGGACUGAGACACGGCCCAGACUCCGACGGGAGGCAGCAGAAGGGAAUCUUCCACAAUGGACGAAAGUCUGAUGGAGCAACGCCGCGUGAGCGAUUAAGGCCUUCGGGUCGUAAAGCUCUGUUGUUAGGGAAGAACAAGUACCGGAGUAACUGCCGGUACCUUGACGGUACCUAACCAGAAAGCCACGGCUAACUACGUGCCAGCAGCCGCCGUAA
rnacentral:rRNA from 1 species